rnacentral:lncRNA from 1 species
AUAUAAACAAAUAUAAGAAAAUAUGCAAUUCGUUUGAAAAAUCUGCAACAACCAAUGAAAAGAAAAUGAAAAAAAUAAAAAUAAUCAUAAAUCUUUGAUUUUAAAGGGAACAACAAUAUUCUCAAUGAUUCAUAUUGAGUCUCAAUGACUCAUAUUCACAAACGAUUUAGAAAAAAAAAAAAGAAAAAGGGAGCUCAUUUCCCGUGUCAAAUAAGCAUCCCUUAAAACAUGAAAUGAAAGUAUGCAUUGAGGAAAUGAAUGUGCACAUUAACGAAGUGGUCUCUCAAAUAGGGGGCCCCCCUUUCCUUUCCGCGCCAACAUGUGGGUGUAUAUCUAGGCCGUACCUAGCUCCACGGAGCAAUCAACCCCCCUUUUUCGAAGCCAACCACCGAGACCAUCCUCUUGCACGAGGAAUGCGCGGUGUAGGUCAGCUGCUCCUCCUGUAAAACUAAACUUCCUGCGUCCACGUGCACAUCUGCUCCCUUUCAGGCACCUGGAGGGGGAAAUCUCGUGGUCCUGGAUGAGUAUACGUAGUCACGUAUCACGUGUAUCCCGAGGGUUCUUCGCGACUCGAUGGUGUACAUGUAUAAUGACGGAGGAACAUAAAUAUUCUCGUCGUUAAUUGCAGGAGGAGAUUUUACAUGAAUGUAUUGAGGAAUAAAUUGUGAUAAUAUUGAUUUUUAUGACAACCAAAUUGAAAAGUUGAUUCUUAGAAAGAUACAUGGAAAUGAAAUAGACAAUAUGUAUAUAUGUGGGAAAGUAUUAUUGAAAUGGUUUAACGAAACAAUUGGCAAAAUUGGUAUAUCGAUUAUUUUUCUUCGUUUGAACUAAGAAAUUAAUAGGCUACUUAAAUACAGAGAGGUUCAUUUUUAUUCAGUUCGAUCGAAUUUUUCUUGUUAAAUGGCUUUAAUUAACUUAAGUACUUUGGAGAAAAGGUUAAACCUGAAAUCGCAUUGGAGAACGAUCAAUAAAAAUGAAUACGAAAUUUAAUACGAUUAUAUCAAGGUUCAUCAAUGAAAAUUUCUUCAGUUCGAGGUAACGUUGCAACGAGCAAAAUCCUUGAAAUGUUAGAUACUAUAUCGGGAAAGUGGCAGGAAUUCCGAGCAAACGGGACACCCUGUAUUCGCUUGGUUGUGUAAUCGGCCUUAAGGAUAAACGGACGCACACACGUUUAAGUACCAUUCGCAAGUAGGGAGGUUCGUAUCACAAAACGGCCAAGUGAAAGGAUAGGCACCAGUUCAUCUUGUGUCUCAACCUCCAACCAACCUUCUCGAAUAUAUCCAUUCGUGCUGCAAGUGCGUCAGCUAUUCGCAUAAAACAACGGUUAAUUCGAAUUCACGUCGUUCACUCGGCGAGCGAAACGAGAAACGCAGUUAUAUUAUUUCUUUGACUAUUUUUUCAUAAGGAAAAUACAUUCUGUUUAUUCGUUGCUUGUUUUACGAGGGCACGCAUAAGUUAUUACAUAAAUUUCUACUAUUCAUGGUGAUAUCACACAGACAUGGAUAGAAGAAUUAAAAAAAGUUACGCAACGGCUAAAAUAUCGUAGAAAUCCACCUUCUAUAAUUCUCAACAGGAAAUUUCAGCAAGUAUUUCCCUCAAUUUACCUAACACCACAAAAGAAUCAACCAACAAUUUAUCAUCACACGACAUCUUUCUCUUAUUUCGAUCUCCAACAGUGUAAUUAAGGAUCAUGAAUAUUCGACCGCCAUUCCGUUUCCUUCUUUCCAUCGAUCUAAACUAUCAGGAUCUCGAUCUAGAUAACUGACUGUAACAUUUCCACGAGCAAUUCAAUCUUACGCAGAGGGAAAAGCGAAAUCUGAGUAUCAACGAUAUAUCUCAGACGUUGAACAUCUUCGAGAGCGUGCACAACAUCUGUCCGCCUCAACUUUGAAAUCACCCCAAAUUUUCAACGUGGAAAGAAACCUUUCGAACUCAACUCGACUGGACAAAAUAACGAUGAAAUCACAGAGGAACGCGCCGCUUGCACGGAUCGAGGAUGCACCUGCAUCUGGUGCAUUUUCGGAUGGAUCACUGGCCAGAUGUCUCUCAUACCCGUGUCGAGCUUUGGUACACGUUUCUGGCUGCUGUUCAAAAUUAUCCAGAAUUCGAUUAUUCUUUUUGAAGUGAAUUUGCGAAUAAUUUAACGUAGAAGAUUUUAAAUACAGUUCACUGCUUUGAUUGAGUGCUGUUACGUGAAAUUAUGUUGUACUCGUUGAAUUGAUAAUAUGAAUAAUAAUGAGAUAAUGUGAAUAAGUUUAAGAACUCUGAUAAGAAGAUUUUUGGAUGAUAUUCAAAUUUGGAAUGAAUUGAUACUCAUCAUAUCUGUUGAAUGAUUAUCUUAUAUAACAAUUAACAAUGCCCAUUGUCUAUUAAAUGAAAUUACCGAAUAAAUUUAUUUUUAUCACAAUCUGAUCACAGGAUUAACGAGACACAUAAUUUCAUAGAAUUAAAAAUUUGAAAAGUUGAACGGAAAAUUGAGAUGAUUACUGGAGAACAUUAUAAUUAUUAAAACAUUCUGUUUAUUACAAGAUUGUGAUAAUAUAAUGACAAUGGAACAUACAAAAAUCUUAAUUUAUAAUCAAAACAAGAAAUCAAUUUUGUUUCAACAGAAUUCUAUUUUAACUAUCUUUCUCAUUAAGAAUUAUUCAAUAUAUUCGUGUCCCACAAUGAAACUUUAUCUUUCAGUUCCAACUAAUUUGCAAUAAACAGGAUAUAGAAUAUCGUGACACGCCGCCCACCACAUGAAAUAUCGAAAUAUUGAAUACCUUUAUCGAAAUACGCGCAUACACUUCAAGGACUACGAGUUCCAAACAACGCGUGGAAUUAAUCACAAUACUCGGGUUAUUAUUCUCUAAAAGAUCCACAAAUAAAACGCAUCAAAUGUGCACGAUGAAACACGUAAACACAAAUUACACGGAAAUUUAUUUGAUCAUUUCCAUACGAGUAACCAAUCCUUAAGAUCAAUCGACAUUGGAUGGAAGAAUGAAAAAGUUGUCUACUGGUAAUUAUAUAUUGUUAUAAUUUAUAUGUGUAAUAGGAUAUCAUAUUGCGUCGUUUCCCUCUCUUUUUCCACGGUCUUUUUAUCGGCCAGUGGCGUGCGACCAGCACGAUCACGAUGCCGUGUCCGACGUCUUCCGCACAUGGAAACCAGAGUAACCAGUGCAGUGAGUAAAAAGCUGCAGCUGUCACACAGAGCGGGCAGCUGCAGCCGCGAUGCAUCGGGGACUAGCGAUGAGAGUAACACGUUUCCAAGCAGUUUUAGUAUUCACGGCGAUUUCCAAUUUUGCAUAAACUCGCCGAACCUCUGUUAAACAGAAUAGUCUCCGAAACAGAAAGACGAAGAAGCACUCGUGAUCGUCAGAAUAUUUUUUUUUUUUCGUAAAAAAUUCCAAAGAAUAUUCGAAAUGAAAAAGAAACAAAAUAUAGGAUACGCGAUGUUGAAUCUACGAUCGGAGCAGGUGGUACUUGGAAUUACAGACCCUUCUCCUAUUCGCAUAUAUGUACAGGUAUGCGCUGGAAUUCGGUGUUCUCCCUUUCAUACUAAUUCAUUCACCUUAAGCAGAAUAUUUUAAAAAGUUCUAUAUAGAUUUUUGGAGGAUCUUGAAUCGGAAUUAACUCUGAAAUUUUUUCAUCCUAAAGAAACUAAAUUCUAGCUGAAAUAUUCAAAGAAGAAUUCAAAGAAAGGAGGACAAAAUAGAGUGAUUGAUACGAUUUAUUAUGCAUUCACGCGAUAAAGAAAGGAUGAAAAAUUCAAGCAUUCCUGAAAUUUCAGAAGCAAUUUGAAUCGAAUCGAAUACCAUUCGUAGAAAAAAUUCGUAGAAGGCGCCAUGAAAAGGUAAUUGAUCAGCCUUUGAUCGCUUUGAUCGUCACGGGUGUUUAUCGGUCAGCAGCAGCAUUCCGUGCAUAUGCAACCGCACACCUAAGAUGGAUGCACGGAGAUGAGAGAAAGUCGGAGAUCCUGGCCUCGAGGUUGUCUUCGAGAAUGUAACGAAGCGUUCGUAUGCACGCGCGCGAUUCUUGCCAGCAGAUAGGCGUGAACGUGCCGCGAGGAAAAUGUCAUUGGAUGCACUCUUGCCAUCCCACGCUUUUAAUAUUAUUAUUCUCAUUAAUUUUCCUUCUCUCUUUCUCCAUCCAAGAGAAUCAUACCGAUUGUAUUCGUAGAAAUAACAAAAUUUUACUUUAGAGAAAAACAAUGUUGUGAAGAAAAUAUAAUUUAAUUAAAA